GGGGCCGUAGCGCAGUUGGGAGCGCGACUGAAUGGCAUUCAGUAGGCCGGGAGUUCGAUCCUCCCCGGCUCCA
rnacentral:tRNA from 1 species